rnacentral:rRNA from 1 species
UACGUAGGGUGCAAGCGUUGUCCGGAAUUAUUGGGCGUAAAGAGCUCGUAGGCGGUUUGUCGCGUCUGCUGUGAAAUCCCAGGGCUUAACCCUGGGCCUGCAGUGGGUACGGGCAAACUAGAGUGCGGUAGGGGAGAUCGGAAUUCCUGGUGUAGCGGUGAAAUGCGCAGAUAUCAGGAGGAACACCGGUGGCGAAGGCGGAUCUCUGGGCCGUAACUGACGCUGAGGAGCGAAAGCAUGGGUAGCGAACCGG